AGGAUUAACGCUGGCGGCGUGCCUGACACAUGCAAGUCGAACGAGGCCGCAAGGCCGAGUGGCGGACGGGUGAGUAACACGUGACCAACCAACCUCGAAGUUGGGAAUAGCUCUGCGAAAGUAGGGGUAAUACCGAAUGUGGCCCAGGGCGGGCAUCCGCCUUGGUCUAAAGAUUCAUCGCUUCGAGACGGGGUCGCGGCCUAUUAGCUUGUUGGUGAGGUAACGGCUCACCAAGGCGAUGAUGGGUAGCUGGUCUGAGAGGACGACCAGCCACACUGGGACUGAGACACGGCCCAGACUCCUACGGGAGGCAGCAGUGAGGAAUCUUCCGCAAUGGGCGAAAGCCUGACGGAGCAACGCCGCGUGUGGGAUGAAGACUCUAGGGUUGUAAACCACUGUCGGAGGGACGAUCGUGACGGUACCCUCAAGAAACGCCCCGGCUAACUACGUGCCAGCAGCCGC
rnacentral:rRNA from 1 species